GUCACGUGGCCAGCCAAGCCCCGCGGCCCGGCGCCGCGUAGUGAAGCCUCGGCCCAGUGCUUGUUUGUCCCAAGUCAAGUGCCCCCGGAGAACGACAACACACCUCUCAGGACGUGGGAGAGGCGCGGCCCCACGGACCAUUUGCAGAUAGUGUUUCAGUCCGCCUAGUGGAAGAAGACCACGCAGUGGCUACGGGCCUGAAACUCACCAGCAGAGCUCGCUUAGGGUGCCGGGUUGCCCGUACAAACGCCAACUGCGCUUCGAAUACAGUCGUCCACGCUGCAGUGCUGGCGGAUGGCCGCGACGCGACGCUCUGGUAACCUCCG